AGUGAACGCUGGCGGUAGGCCUAACACAUGCAAGUCGAACGGCAGCACAGUAAGAGCUUGCUCUUACGGGUGGCGAGUGGCGGACGGGUGAGGAAUACAUCGGAAUCUAUUUUUUCGUGGGGGAUAACGUAGGGAAACUUACGCUAAUACCGCAUACGACCUACGGGUGAAAGCAGGGGAUCUUCGGACCUUGCGCGAAUGAAUGAGCCGAUGUCGGAUUAGCUAGUUGGCGGGGUAAAGGCCCACCAAGGCGACGAUCCGUAGCUGGUCUGAGAGGAUGAUCAGCCACACUGGAACUGGGACACGGUCCAGACUCCUACGGGAGGCAGCAGUGGGGAAUAUUGGACAAAGGGCGCAAGCCUGAUCCAGCCAUACCGCGUGGGUGAAGAAGGCCUUCGGGUUGUAAAGCCCUUUUGUUGGGAAAGAAAAGCAGCAGGUUAAUACCCCGCUGUUCUGACGGUACCCAAAGAAUAAGCACCGGCUAACUUCGUG
rnacentral:rRNA from 1 species